CCAGCCUCUAAAAAAGAAAUAAUAAUUUCAGGGAAAAAACGUAACUAAUACAUAUACAUGCCUUUAGUAUUCGUUACCUUCCAGGUGAGUAUAACAUGGGAUUCAGAUGGAGUUGGGUUGAAAGCUAGACUUUAUGACCUCAGACAAAAUAAUUAGUUUCUUUGAGGCUUGCUUUCUUCAUCUCUGAUGUAAGGAUAGCACUACCUUGGCAGAGGUUUCCUACAAAAUGCAAAACCCACAGCAUGAGUAAAGCACCUGGCGGUGAGUGGUCAUCCUUUCUGUGCCUGUGUGAUUUUACAGUGAUUUUCAUCCUAUGAACUCAAAGUACGUUUUUUAAAAAUCAGAAUGAGGUGUUACCUGAUUUUUUAAAUUAAGAUAUAAGUAAUUCACCCUCUUAAAGUAUAUAGUUCAGUGGUUUUUAGUAUAUUCACAAGGUUAUGCAACCAUUCACGAAUCUAGUUCCAAAAUCCCAUAUCCCUCAGUGGUCACUCUCUGUUCUCUACUCCCCACUGUUCCUGACAACCACCAAUCUACUUACUAUCUCUGGGGAUCUGCCUCUCUUGCACAUGUCCUAUAAUGGAGUCAUAGGAUAUAUGACUUCUUGUGUCUGGCUUCAGUCACUUAUGUUCUCAAGGUCCAUCCACACCGUAGCAUUAUCAGUACUUCAUUCUUUUUUAUGGCUGAAUGAUAUUCCAUUGUAUCAAUAUCCCAUAUUUUGUUUACCCAUUGGGUUGUUCAGAAUACAUUCUAUCAGAUUUCAUCCUUUAGUGUCAGCAAGAGAGGUGUUAUGAGAUCAACUAUUACAUAUGUAUUCAUUCAAAAAGCAUUCAAAUACGUUACCAUGUACAAAAACACUAUGCUGAGCAAUAUGAGGAAAAGAGAGGAAUAGAGAUCCAGCCAUAAGGAACUCCGAAUACAGAGGCAGAGUUGACGUAAUGUAGGAAUUUGGAAGUGGGAAAAGUUAUUUAAGAGGUUGGGGUGGAGCAUUUUGACAGGACUGUGAAGGAAUUAAACUUGGAUGUGCUGGUGAUAGAGUGUUUCUGGCAGGAGGGACAGAAAAGAAACACACAAAGGCAGGAAGAUGUCCAUUGUGUCCAAGAAGCAGAGAGUUAAAUUUGAGCAAGGGGCAUAGUGGAGGCAAGUUGAAAAGGUAGAAUUGACUGGCUCGUGGGAAAAAAUCUCAAAUGCCAGACUUACCAGGCUUAAAAUUUUAUUCCUUACUCCACAAUAUUUAUAUUCCUUAUUUCUAAGAAUACUGUGGGGGAACCAGAGGAGUUAUCCUCACCAAGUGCCUUGAAGUGACCAUCUCUGUUGUUGGGGCCCUGAACUAGAGCACCGUUUCCCUCUGGCCAUCAUUUUCAGGGGUGACCUGCAGGGCUGCGAGCUCCUCCUCCAGCUGCUGGCUCUCCUCCUUCACGGCCAUGAGGUAAUCUGUGACUGACUGUCGGGGCUGCAGGCCCUUUUCAAAGCGGUUGUACAUUCCACUCCAAAACCUGGGAGGGACGGCAGAGCGACACGAUACACCACCUCACACUGUGUACUUUCACGUUCUCCAGUCUCCCCAGGUGUCUGUCAAACCACAGUCCUAAUAAUAACCAAGUACAAAGUACAGGCUCAAAAGGAAAAACUCACUUAAAGUAAUAAUUCCAUGUUGAUGUUUUAAUUUUCUUGAAUCAGUAAACUUCUUUCAGGGAGAAUAAAUUCAUGAAGAGUCUACUUGUAUAGAUAGUACUGAAUUAGAAGGCACAUAAUGUAUUUUUCUAAAGUAGAUUGAAGUAGCACAUUACCCCUUUUUUUUUUUUGGCUUAAGAAAUGACUCUUAGUUGUGAAGUAAACUUGGAAAAUUCAUGUUUGUAUUAACAUUCAGGAUCUUUCAGCUGCAAAAGAAGUCUUUUGAAUUUGAGGUUUUUAGCUUGUUUUAUCACAACCACCAAAAAUUUACAUUUGCAAUAAAUCCUCCUCCCUUUUUUAUCCUAUGCAAUAAGGCAUUCCGGGAUGCAGACACGAAUACAGGUUCACCUUGUUCUGCUGCGCUUUGCUUCACUGCACUUCACAGAUACUGCGGAUUUUACAAACUGAAGGUUUGUGGCAACCCCGUGUCAAGCGAGUCUGUCAGCACAAUUUUUCUUUUUUUAGUGGAGGUGCUGGGGAUUGAACCUAGGAUCUCAGCACAGUUUGUUUUUCUAAUAGUCUUUGCUUACCCUUGUGUCUCUGUGUCACUUGGUAAUUCUCACGAAAUUUAAGCUUGUCCAUUAAUAGUUAACGGUGAUCUGUGAUCUUUGAUGUUAAUACUACUAUUCACUGAAGGCUAAGAUAAUAACAUUCUUUAGCAACAAAGUGUUUUUAAAUUAAGGUAUGUACAUUGUUUUUUAGACAUAAUGCUAUUGCACACUUAACAGACGCCAGUGUAGUUUAAACAUAACGUACAUAUUACCACAGGUAUGUCUGCAGAUCCACUCUUUACUCAGAAAGGUACUUGGAGGGCAGGGACUUGGUGUCACUGUUUUAUCCACAAUGCAAUGCAUCUGUUGACUGGUAACAACGCAACUGCAACAGAUCUGACUGCCGUGUACCUCAACAGCUCGCAAAGCUGCUGUUUUUACACAAACCAUGGAGGAAUUUUUUAGUGUGACAGAAUUAAUAUUCUUCUGUAAAAUUAAGAACUAAUCAAGAAUAAAAGCUGCAGAGAAGAAAAGCUUCUCAACGAGAGCUGUGUUGAAGGAAUGUGGUUUCUCAGUUGUUUCUGUGUUUGGUCUUUUUGCUGACCUGAGUCAUCCCUAUGUAUCAUACAGGACGAGGGCAGAAGCCAAAGGAUGAAACACAGCCUGUGUACCUAGACAGUCCGCAGGGUGCCGCCUGCUCUCCUAUCCCAGUAUACACGGUCUUAACCUAAUUUAUUUCCACAGGGAAAUACUUCCAUUAGACCUUGAUUAAGCAGCAAAAGAAAAUAAGCUAUGUAGUGGUACUACUUACACUUGUGCUCCCACAUUUAACCUCUAAGGUAUUUGGUUUAUUCAGUCAUUCCUUCCUUCUUUCCUUGCUCACCCCCUCCCUCACUUUUAAAUAAACUGGAACUUACAUUUUUAAGAUAUCAUUACUAUUAAAACAUCAACUUCUAAGAAAAUUUCCUUAUUUAGGAGGAAAGGAGAGGGAGAGGAGACACUGGCAAAAAUAGCAGUUCAGCCCCCUUUGGUGUGUUUCUGUCCAAAACAGCCUUGAAGCUCAGUGUAUCACACGCUUCAGGCUCCAAGUAGUAAACAGUGCAAGAACCUAAGUUCACAGCCAUACUGAACGAGGGCCCAGAGGGCUACGUACUUGUGCGUGAAGCUGCACGGCGCCGUGGGGAGGCGAAGGGCUCCGCGGGUCUGGCUGUGGUCAGCUCUGAACAGAGGAUUCAGGUAGUCAGCACGGUUCUUCCACAGGUGAGCCCAGGAAGAGUGUGUUCUUUCCUGGAUUCUGUUAUAAAGAAAAGAAGGCUGCAGAUGACUUUAUCUUGGUUCUUAUAAAUAGUAGGCUUGUAAUGUUAAAGCUAGAAAGGGCAGUAACUGCUACCUGAACAUCAGGGGUCCCCGUUGUCCAGCAGGGAGACUUCCACUCUGUCUCCGAGCUACAGCAGCGGACACUACCCAUCUCAGCUCCUGCUCUCGGCCCUGGCCUCAGCAAGAUGGUUAAGCCUCUGAUUAUCAAAACCACAUAAAAUUUUUUGGAAUUUCCCCCAGUUAGUCACUGAACUCUUAUUAUUUGCUAAGUACUAUUUAAAUGCUUCAUAUACUUUCUCUCAUUUACUCCUCACUGAAUUCCUAUGACAUUUGUCUGUUUUAUAGAUGAGGAAACAUCUGGGCGAGGUUACGCAGUUUCCCAAAGUCACAACACUAGGGAGAGGAAUGGCCAGGAUUCAGAACCAAGCAUGAAACGGGCUGAUCUAUCACAACAAAUCCCAAAGCUCUGUAGGAAAACAGUGUCAGCUGUCCGUACUCAGACCUAGCAGUGGACACACCCCAUCAGGCUCCUCUGACAGCAUCUGUCCCCAGCAUGGAUGCGGGAUCCACUGAAGCACUUUCUACCAAAUCAUGCUUCAAGAGGCAGGAACCAGUAACCUCCCAGCCACCAAGAAGUCCCUGCAGUCAUUUUAAGAAGAUGGUUCCGUCUUAGCCAAAGCUCACCUUCCAGGCAACCAUACAAAUAUUCUGCAGUUGGAAGCAACAUGUCAAGUUCUGAUGCACACCUGAAAGGUGCAAAAUCCAGGAGAGGAUGCACUCAUCAUUUCAGCAAAGAGCAGCCAAACACUGAAAUUUUCAAUAUUCUCAACCAGAGUCGCAAAGGACUACUUAAAAUAUAAAAGUAGUAAGU